AUCGUCUCCUGUCCCCACAAGCAGACACUGACUUCUAGCUCACCUCUGGGGACUCAAAGAGCAUAUUCUUCUUGCUCAGCCCCCCAAACUUCUGCCAAAUAAACAGCAUCCACAGAUAAGUACCGCCUGCAAUCACCAAGCCACUUUGGACCAAGCCUCCAGUGGCAUCAUGAUCACCCCUCAUUCCUUUAGGGGGCUCUGUGAUGUCAUCUCUUCUCCCAGAUCUUAGCCUGUCGCGAAGUGCAGUCCUGUGCCUGCUAGGUCCUUUGAUGCCAGCCUUUAGCUACUUCAACACCUGCGAUCAGACUCCUCAAGUUCAAAUGCAAGCACCACCUCAUUCUGUCUGUUUGAAUAAAUCAGACUGCUUCUCAGUGUCUCCUCCAUUUCCUCCUCUGUAAGUGGAGACACUCAGAAACAGAAGGGUCAGCAGGACUGAUUGAACGAAGGCAACAAAGAGCUUAACAGUUUGAUGGGUCUCUUUCCACAUAUCCAGAGCUUUCAUCUCUCUCUGCCUCCAUCCUUGAGCUCCUAACACCCAUCUGCCUACCACAGUGUUUCAUAUCUCAUGCCCAUGUUGUUUCCUUGCCCAGAGCACCCUGCCUAUCCUUCUUCAGCAGGCUCAUUCUGCAGAUGCCCACUGAGGGGUCCUUUCCCCUGGAAACCCACCAAAGCCCCAGCCUGAUCUCAGAGUUCCUCCUGCCUAUUCUCAACAGUGCCUGGCUAAGAAGACAAGUGGGUCCUGAUGAUCCCCUGGCUUCACCGAGGCAGACAUCAUUAAUGGAUCAUGCCAUGAUUCGGAGAACUUUACUGGGAUUAGCUGGAACUGCCUACCUUGACAGUCUAAAGUGGGUGAUUAAGUCAGACAAUGGAUCAUGGAGCUCAGCCUAAGACCUGGCAUAUUCAUCACUGCUGCUUUACAAGGUCCCUGGCGUAUCCAGCCCCACCCCACCCUGUCACCUAGUGGAACUGGUGGUGGUGGGGGGAUGAAUGUAACAGAUUAAGAAUGGAACAAGAAGGCAAGGGACCAUUUCUAGAAAAGGACACGACCUCACAAGGGAACAAAAACAAGUGACCCUUCUCCUCUGCUUGCAGCCAGGGUGGGCUGUAACUGUCUGCAUCAGAAAAGAACUGGGGGUCCUGGAAAGCCAGUGGGCCAAGCAUCUGUCCUCACUUCCCUGUUUCCUACUUGUCAUCAGUGCUCACCUCUGCCAGGUCCCUCGAGUGCAACCAGCACUGUGCAUGGAGCAUGCUGCUCAUGGUGCCGUCCUCCAGACCACUCACUGUCACCCCACUUUUCAUGGGAAAAUGAAGCCAGAUGUCCACAUGUCCCACUCUGCAGCUCAGCAAGGGUUAAGCUCUGGAAGAGAUUCAGCUAUGGAACCUUUGGUCAGCUGGUCACUGGAAUAAAAACUAGAUGGUGUGUGUGUGUGUGUGUGUGUGUGUGUGUGUGUGUGGUAAUGGUGUGUGUGGUAAUGGUGUGUGUGUAUGUGUGGUGAUGGUGUGUGUGUUUGUGUGUUUGUGUGCGCGCGCGCGUGUGGUGAUGGGGGGGGAGCAGGGAUAACAAUGCAAGCUGGGGACUGAGCAGAAUGUUAUACACAAAUCCUAAAGAUUUCACAAUGACAUAUAUAGAUAGAAAAUAAACUACUCCAAAGCAAAAAA